rnacentral:rRNA from 1 species
UACAGGGGGGGGCAAGCGUUGUUCGGAAUUACUGGGCGUAAAGCGCGCGUAGGCGGACCUGCAAGUCGGGGGUGAAAGCCCGAGGCUCAACCUCGGAACUGCCUUCGAUACUGCGGGUCUCGAGUCCGGGAGAGGUGAGUGGAAUUCCUAGUGUAGAGGUGAAAUUCGUAGAUAUUAGGAAGAACACCAGUGGCGAAGGCGGCUCACUGGCCCGGUACUGACGCUGAGGCGCGAAAAGCGUGGGGAGCAAACAGG